rnacentral:rRNA from 1 species
UACGUAGGGGGCGAGCGUUGUCCGGAUUUACUGGGCGUAAAGCGCGUGUAGGCGGCUGCGUAAGUCGGGUGUGAAAUCCCCGGGCUUAACCUGGGAACUGCAUUUGUGACUGCAUGGCUGGAGUGCGGCAGAGGGGGAUGGAAUUCCGCGUGUAGCAGUGAAAUGCGUAGAUAUGCGGAGGAACACCGAUGGCGAAGGCAAUCCCCUGGGCCUGCACUGACGCUCAUGCACGAAAGCGUGGGGAGCAAACAGG